UACGUAGGCAGCGAGCGUUGUCCGGAUUUAUUGGGUUUAAAGGGUGCGUAGGCGGCCAUUUAAGUCAGUGCUGAAAUACUCUAGCUUAACUAGAGGGGUGGCAUUGAUACUGAUUGGCUUGAGUGAAGUCGAAGUAGGCGGAAUUGACGGUGUAGCGGUGAAAUGCUUAGAUAUCGUCAAGAACACCGAUAGUGAAGACAGCUUACUAGACUUCAACUGACGCUGAGGCACGAAAGUGUGGGGAUCAAAC
rnacentral:rRNA from 1 species